rnacentral:pre_miRNA from 1 species
ACAUGAAUCACCUGGGGGAUUUUUGUUAAAAUGCAGCUUCUGGUUGAGCGGGUCUAGAAUGGGGCUGAGUUUACAUUUCUAACAAGCUCCCCAGGGAUGCUGAU